GACGUAGGGAGCGAGCGUUGUCCGGAUUCAUUGGGCGUAAAGAGCGCGCAGGCGGUUUGGUAAGUCGGAUGUGAAAACCCGGGGCUCAACCCCGGGCGUGCAUCUCGAUACUGCCCGACUAGAGGUAGGUAGGGGAGAUCGGAAUUCCUGGUGUAGCGGUGAAAUGCGCAGAUAUCAGGAGGAACACCGGUGGCGAAGGCGGAUCUCUGGGCCUUACCUGACGCUCAGGUGCGAAAGCUAGGGGAGCGAACAGG
rnacentral:rRNA from 1 species